GCGAACGCUGGCGGCAGGCCUAACACAUGCAAGUCGAACGAACUCUUCGGAGUUAGUGGCGGACGGGUGAGUAACACGUGGGAACGUGCCUUUAGGUUCGGAAUAACUCAGGGAAACUUGUGCUAAUACCGAAUGUGCCCUUCGGGGGAAAGAUUUAUCGCCUUUAGAGCGGCCCGCGUCUGAUUAGCUUGUUGGUGGGGUAAUGGCCCACCAAGGCUACGAUCAGUAGCUGGUCUGAGAGGAUGACCAGCCACAUUGGGACUGAGACACGGCCCAGACUCCUACGGGAGGCAGCAGUGGGGAAUAUUGGACAAUGGGCGAAAGCCUGAUCCAGCAAUGCCGCGUGAGUGAUGAAGGCCUUAGGGUUGUAAAGCUCUUUUACCAGGGAUGAUAAUGACAGUACCUGGAGAAUAAGCUCCGGCUAACUCCGU
rnacentral:rRNA from 1 species